rnacentral:rRNA from 1 species
CAAACGACUCUCGGCAACGGAUAUCUCGGCUCACGCAUCGAUGAAGAACGUAGCAAAAUGCGAUACUUGGUGUGAAUUGCAGAAUCCCGUGAACCAUCGAGUUUUUGAACGCAAGUUGCGCCCAAAGCCUUUUGGCCGAGGGCACGCCUGCCUGGGCGUCACGC